CAAGACCCUGACUUUCACGGGAUUCACGUACAAUUUCACCACUGUACAUACACAACAAACCCUUAUACUUUCAUCCUCAUACCACCAAUUGAAUCCUUAUUUUCACGUCACUGAUAUUCAUGUGCAAAGCUUGGACCCUUUUGUUCAGCACACCAUCAUUCUAAUAUUUUUACACUAUACACUCACAUAUAAUUUUUUACACUGUAAAUACCAAGAUUAACAAUUAACAAAAUUUUUCACACUUUGUUACUCAUACCAUUUUUGUUUUUUGCUCAUAUUUUUAGUCAUCUCUCAUGUAUUCAAACUACACAAAAUCCAUACUAAUUACUACAAAUCCUUACAUAUUCUAACGAUUUGCAUCAAGGUUUUUUUUGCAGCCAACUACACAGUAGAACCGAUGAUGAUGAAGAAAGUUGUUCACAACUGAGAACCUUCGGCGAAACUCCAGCAACCGCACGGCCGCGAAACACCGUUUCCGCCGGGAUCCACCACUCUCAGCCACCGUCAAAUCGCGGUGAAGCCCAGCCAUCGGAAGCACCUCCGACGAUACCCGAUCCGCUUCGUCGAUCUGCAUCAAACGUAUGCGUUCCAUCUCUUCCGCCGCUUCAGCCGCCGUCGACGACAUCCCGUCGGAUCUAUCUUCAAAUCCGUCACUUACAUGCAUAGCUUGUGCAUGCAUGGAUUGAUCCAACGCUUCAGAGCCUGCAGUUCCAUGGUGAACCUUAAAGAUUCGACCACACCUGAUUAUAGCAUUCAGGUCACAACAAGUUUUCUUAAUAAACCUUAGGGGUUUAUUGUUAGGGUUGGCAUUUCCCUUUCUCUUCUUCGUGCCAAAUUUUCAGGGUUAAACAAAAUCCUCCGACCACGCGCCACGCCCUUCAAAAAGCUAAGUAUUUAAAAGUCUAUUUUGUUUCCUUUUGAUUUUAGGGUUUGCCCUUAUAUUUUUGAACUGUGCAUACAUUCACUCCAUCUAUUUUUCCGCCUUUGCCAAUUUUUCAGGGUUAAUCCCGAGGUUUCCUCCGACUGCCAACCAUAUCAGAUCAAAUGCAAAGCUAAGUGCUUUUCUUUGUUUAUUUAAUUAUUUUUAAACUCUUUAUCCUUUUAUUUUUAGGGUUAACCUCGUUUGCCUCCGAACCGAUAAUGCACUCACCCUUCUUUGUUUAUUCUUUCGUUUCCAAUUUUCAGGGUUUGUCACAUUGGCAAAGCUACGCGUAUCGGUAACCCUAAACCCUGUCCUCAAUUAUUACUUGUGUUAAACCCUUUGUUUUAAUUAUAUCCCGCUGGUUUCAAUUUCCCUCUCCUCCGCUGGUUACAAUUUCCCUUCCCCGUUAUUAUUGUUUAUAUUAAACUGCGUGGUUAGUAAUUCUAGGGAGUGCAACUUAUUAAUUGAAUUAGCAUCACGUAAUUUUACAAGAUAACAUAACUGAACAUGAUCACGUGAUUGUUGCACCCACGCACACUUUUGGGGUAACCUCUCUGUUGCCUCGUUGCUUGUUGCCUUGUGUUUUUUUGCAGAAUAGCCAUGUCCCUCGAAUACGAGGAUACCUCAGCCAUGCUGCCUCGAUACAAAUAAAGGUCAUAAGUCCCUAAUGAUGCUGCCUUCGAUACACCAAUAUGACCUCGACCCUCGGAAGUUGCCUACAAAAAGGCUGAGGUAUCUUCUGGCUGCCUACGAAAAAGGCUAUUCUGAUCCUUCUCCUUAGACUACCUGCCUCUUUAUGGCAUGGGUCAGUCUUUGAGCGAAUGAUAAUUCGACGACCCUUCUACCUCCAAACGAAAGGCUUCCUGCCCUCUUAUGGCAAGGACUGACCCUUUCAUUCUGAAAGGCUAAAAAGAGACCUAUCAUCUGAGUUUAAGGUAAUUGCCCCUAAUUGCCUUGCCAUGCUCUAUUUUCUAUAUUCUUUCUCAAAAUUCUUCAAAAAAACUGGCUACGCUCAUUUACGAGUUAAAGUCCAUUUUUCCUCUUUCAUCUACAUUUUCUGGAAACGAGCAAGCAAAGCAAUUAAGAGCCCAUGGAAAACCAUGGAUGCAAAGGGUGCCUUACACCUUCCCUUUGCAUAAAUUACCCCCCGAACUUAGAUUUCUUUAAAAGGUUUUUUCUGUUUCUUUUAGCCUUUCUGAAUUUGUUUGGAUAAAAUAAAAGUCGGUGGCAACUCAUGCUUAACCGCGACAUUUU